rnacentral:rRNA from 1 species
GAUGAACGCUGGCGGCGUGCCUAAUACAUGCAAGUCGAACGCUUCACUUCGGUGAAGAGUGGCGAACGGGUGAGUAAUACAUAAGUAACCUGGCAUCUACAGGGGGAUAACUGAUGGAAACGUCAGCUAAGACCGCAUAGGUGUAGAGAUCGCAUGAACUCUAUAUGAAAAGUGCUACGGGACUGGUAGAUGAUGGACUUAUGGCGCAUUAGCUGGUUGGUAGGGUAACGGCCUACCAAGGCGACGAUGCGUAGCCGACCUGAGAGGGUGACCGGCCACACUGGGACUGAGACACGGCCCAGACUCCUACGGGAGGCAGCAGUAGGGAAUUUUCGGCAAUGGGGGAAACCCUGACCGAGCAACGCCGCGUGAAGGAAGAAGUAAUUCGUUAUGUAAACUUCUGUCAUAGAGGAAGAACGGUGGAUAUAGGGAAUGAUAUCCAAGUGACGGUACUCUAUAAGAAAGCCACGGCUAACUACGUGCCAGCCGCCGCCGUAA